rnacentral:rRNA from 1 species
GAUGAACGCUGGCGGCGUGCCUAAUACAUGCAAGUCGAGCGAACGGACGAGAAGCUUGCUUCUCUGAUGUUAGCGGCGGACGGGUGAGUAACACGUGGAUAACCUACCUAUAAGACUGGGAUAACUUCGGGAAACCGGAGCUAAUACCGGAUAAUAUUUUGAACCGCAUGGUUCAAAAGUGAAAGACGGUCUUGCUGUCACUUAUAGAUGGAUCCGCGCUGCAUUAGCUAGUUGGUAAGGUAACGGCUUACCAAGGCAACGAUGCAUAGCCGACCUGAGAGGGUGAUCGGCCACACUGGAACUGGGACACGGUCCAGACUACUACGGGAGGCAGCAGUAGGGAAUCGUCCGCAAUGGGCGAAAGCCUGACGGAGCAACGCCGCGUGAGUGAUGAAGGUCUUCGGAUCGUAAAACUCUGUUAUUAGGGAAGAACAUAUGUGUAAGUAACUGUGCACAUCGUGACGGUACCUAAUCAGAAAGCCACGGCUAACUACGUG